AGUGGCAAAGCCAGGAAACAAACUUAGGAUCUGGCAAGCAAACAAACACUAGAAAACCACAUAAACAAAAGAACCCACCUCAAAAUAAGGUCUUAUUGAUUUUGGACUUGCUCCUGCACACUCCCGCACUCCAGGAGAAUAGGUUGUUUGGCUACUAUCACAAACACUCCCUGCUACUACUGUACAAAUUGCUCAGGCUGGAGGUUUCCACACCUCCCACACCCCCCUCCUGUUCUCUGCUAAAAAAGUUGGAGCCGUUGGAAGUUGCCAAAUAGGUCUUUGGAGAUAAUCUUCUUGUUUGUCUGCAGGAUGAGUGGAGGAGAGACUAUGGCCAUGUAGGUUGUCCCUACACUACACUGGCAAAAGGCAGCCACCAAGAUGGUCAAAUGAGACACAGGCUCUGCUGUUGUUCUGCUUUUCCUUCCUUUGAUGCAAGAAGUGAUGAAAUCAGCUAUAGCAGCAUAGAAACUGGCUUUGAGCUUUGCCCACCUUGCUACACUACUGGAGGAUAUACAUCUCCCCGCCUCCAACAUGUCAGUGAAGAUGCUCAGGGCUCAGGUUGGCUACAUGAAAAGGAUUCCUGCAUACUUCUCAACUUGGAAGCCACAGCUGGUCCAGCUGUAUUUCCCACCAUCUGAACAAUUUGGAAACCAUUUAUAGCAUGAUGCAGUUUGGGCUGUUCUGGCUUAGGUUUGCUGUGACACAUCUGCAUGGGAUUAUUUAGCCUCCUGGAAAACAAGAGAGAGAGCUUACAGCAUGGCUGGAGAAGCCUGGCUAUAUUCCUAGAGAGCUUCAUGCAGGUGGCAUCCUAUAGAGAGACCUGACCCUUUGAUUUGUGUUUUACAUCAAUAAUUGUAUGUUUUUGAAGGGGACAGACUGAAAUCAUACAUUGAAUUUAAAACUCACAUACGUUUUCUGCCAGCAAAAUCCUUCAUAAUUCAUAAAAGAAAACCAGAAACAUACAUCAUGAAGUCAUGUUUCAAAAAUGAAGCAUCCAAUUAAAAGAGACAGUCUUUUACAAGCAGCAGUCUUUUUUCACUUCCAUUAUGAUCAAGUUAUAUUACUUUGGCAAAACUAUUUACUUUUCUCAUAUGAAACAAUGAAUUGUGAGUAGCUGUAUCCGAAAGCAAACAGAAAUUGAAGCUGUGGCAGAGAAACCCAUGGAAAACCAGAGGGGAUAAUGGACAAUGGUUUUAAACUAAAAGAGGAGAAUUUUAGAUUAGAAACUCAUUUACCAGAGAGUAAUAAGGCUGUGGCACAAGUUGCCCAGAGAAGCUGUGGCUGUCCCAUCCCUGGAAGUGUUCAAGGCCAGGCUGGAUGGGGCUUGGAGCAACCUGGUCUAGUGGAAAGUGUUCCUUCCCACGGCAGUAGGAUUGGAAUGAGGUGAUUUCAAAGGUCCCUUUCAACCCAAGGCUUCUAUGGUUCUAUGAAAUCCAAAUUAUAAUUGGCCUUUAGUUUUGUGGUUUAACCUAUCCACACUACUCAUGGCCCUGAGCUACUCUUUGUCCUUGGUGCAUUAGAAAUUGCAGAGGUUUCUUGCUUUUUUAUUAUACAAACAAGCAGUAUCCUACAUAGAUCAGAAGGAACUGGUGUUGCCUGAAUAGUGACAAAAUAGUAAAUAAUAGUAACAGAAAACUAAAUCUGUGUACUAAUAUGAGACUGCAAGGAAAAGGAAGCAGGAGUGAGGUUGAGCAGUCCCCCUAGUGACUCCUCUCUGGUGAGGAGAAGAUGGACCAACAGAAGGCACUAGGAUUAAGAAGAAGUUUUGCAAAAUGUUUGUGAAAGAACAGGACAAAUCUGAACACCUCACAAUAGCAAAAUGGAGACAUUACAGCCACAAACUAAGAACAACAAGACUGUAGCCAAGACACUGUGCACAGCAUGGAACAUGUCAUGGACCUGUGUAGGCUGACUCCCUGCCAAGCCAAACCAGAAGAUAUCUACACUAAGCUCUCCUGAGUUGGAAAAUUAAUUUUGGUUUCAAGAAAUUAAAUGCAGAAAUUAAAUACCAAGCAAUAUUUUUGGUGAUAUUCCAACAGCAGCCAUAGUGUUAUUUUAAGUUGCUAUUACAAAACACGUCUGGCCGAGGGAAGCAGAAGACAAGUCUGAUGGACAAGUCACAGCAGAAAGACACACACCAGAAUUUCAGGAGUGAGAAAUUUCAGGAGUCCUCUUUCAUUGAGCUUAUUGCAGUGGUUUGGUGGAAACUUGGGACUCUACAAGAAAUAUGAUCAGCUGGAUGGGUGGAAUAUAACAAAAGGAGGGCUCAAAUUACAAGACAUUGAAUUUGCGUAAAACAUCAAGCCAAAAAGUGGAAGCUUUUAGCUUGUAAGUUAGAAACAGAUUCUUAAGUCUGUAAGAGGAACAAUCACCAUUUUCCAUCGGAAUAAAAUCCAAUCUGUCCAAGUGCAUCCUGGUGUUUCCAUUGCCUAUUAUAUACCAGGGUUCAUGAGGAAGCUUAAAAAAUAAUGCAAAAACUAUCAUUACUUUAAGGGACACUGUCAUAGCAUUGUCUUGGUUUGAAAGACAGGUAUCUGCUAGGAAGGGGGCAGGACCUCCAUACAGAUGGAGAAUUUGAAUCCCCUCCCUCCAAAUUAUUCUAAUUCAGAAAAUUAAAGCGGCUUUCAGACAGAGGUAUGGGGAUAGGAAUAACAGUUCUUUACUAGUAUAUAUGACAAAACAACAAACAAACAACAACUACAGCAUUAGCAAUAAACAGAACCAAGAACCUUGAGGGCUUUCUUUCACAAAAAAGCCCCGGGCAGUUUGAUCCUGGUGCCCCUGCAGACCCCGAGAGGCCGAACUGGAAGGAAGGAAAGUCCCGGGCUGGUGGAUGAGAUGAGGAGCUCUGUGCUGGCAGCUGGAGCAGCAGGGGUGUCCCGGCAGGGCUGGGCAGUGCAGGGCUACAGAGCAGCAGGAGAGCCUCAAAGCUCUGAAGAAGCAGUGGCGGUGAGGGGAGGCUGGAGAAAACGAGCUCAGGAUUCCCGGGUACAGGAGCAGAUGAGGGUAGAUUUCCCAGGACGAGGCAGAGGCAGAGUGAUGGCUGUGAACUCUUCCUGCAGCCAGCGGCAGCCUGACCGUCCUCCUCGAUGCUGAGAGCAAGAGAGAGCCCCUGCCCCAGCUCUGUCUUUUUACCUUUCCCAAAGCUCCUCAUCUCUCCCCUCUGAGGGACACUCCCAGAGACUCAAAAACAAUAGGUGUAGCCUUGUGCUGCCAUGUCCUUCAAGUACUCCUCUUUGUUCUGACUAAGUACUGUCAUUAAGGUUUCUUAGAAACUUCUGGGAAAAAAUUCUGUGAGUGAAAAAGAGGCAAAUCUAACCCCCAACAAGCAUGCAGCAGAAAAUGGGAUGUCUGGCAAUGGGGAAUGUUUUCGUAGUGUGGACUCAUUUAUUUGUGGAGGACUGUGUAGCACCCUGCCAAAAAACAAGGUGAAGGAUGAAAACACAUUAGCUUCCUCACAGGAGACUCCCCAGAUCCUUAGGGGUCAUCAUAAUGCCUGUCUUUGCUUUUGAACUGUUUAAUUUCAUCACAUCCAGGACUCUUUACCUGUCCCACAGGUAAAGAGUAAUGAUUGCAUGGCUGAUGUCACAUCUCUCAGGGGUGUGAUUGACAACCUGAAGUUUGCAAGGCUAUGUGUCAUUUCACCUGCUCAGCUCACCAGGCUAUAGAAGGCAUUUACUUUCUUCCUUCAUGCUUCUCAGUGGCCCCAUGAACUCCACUGACCUGUGCAGUAGCUCAUGUGUUUCUCCAAAGAAAAAGUGCACGUGUAACAAAACACCAAUACCUUGGUCUGUGCCAUGCAUUCAGAGUGCCACACACCCUCCUCCAAAUGAUAAACCACACAAUUGUUUAGGUUGGAAAAGAUUAUUGAGUUGCAUUGUUACACCAGCACUGCCAUAUUCACCACCAAGCCACGUUCACACCUUUCAGACACUUCCAGAGAUGGCUAUUCCACCAUUUCUAUGGGCAGCAUGUUCUAGUGUCCCAUCCCACAGCAAAACUCAGUUCUGUGAGGCAGUCUCCAUGGGAUGGAAAUCCAGACCUUCUAGGCCUAUGGUGAGGAAGCUGUCUCAUGCUUUUUUACAGUCAUCCUAACUAACUAAGGAAUUUCUUGAAAAUUUCCAAGGGGAAUCUAAUUUAGAUUUGGCCUAAAACCCUUCAUUCCUUACAUUACUGUUGUCCUGUUAAUCUCUAGGCUGUAGAUUACUGCAUUAUGACCACAACACCCAGGAAGAAAAGGACAGAGAAAAUGGGAAAGGGAAAUCAUGAAGUUCUUUGGAAAUCACACAAAGGACACCCUUCUGUGUGACCCAAGAUAAAGAAUGUAAUUUGUAAUUAAAACAAAUCUCACUGUCAUAAAAAAGUUGGACAGGAAAAGUAAUUUCCAGUAGCUUUAAGAAUAAAGUUGCAUAAUUUUAACCUUUUUUUCUCUAGGGGUGAAAGGUAAGGAGAAAACAGUUAAUGGGCGACAUAGUCCACCUCAGUCAGGAACUUGGUAACCUUUUGAGUCCUUGUAAGUUUUGCAAACAAGGUUACCACUACCAAAUCAAUCAUCUAGGUGCACAUCAUGGCUGUGUCUCACCAUAACAGGAGCUGUAGCUCUCUGUAGGGGAUUUUGGUAGUUUCCCUCCAGUUGUCCUGCUGACAUCUCUACACUAUUGUUUCCCACAUUCCAUCUGUACACACCAUGUGCAUCCAAAAUCAGGCAAUUUACCAGAUCAAUUCUUCUACCCAACCUUUGCAAGGGGACUAAAGCUCUGGGACCAGAGUUGUUCUUGUACCAUCUCAUCUUGAUUGAAAGAAUUUAAAGAAUCCAGGUUACAUUUACCCUCAAAUUUAAAGUUUGCAACCCUUGUUCCUCAACCCCAGUUUAUUUCAGCUUGAGGUUCGUAUUUUAUUUCUAAACAAUAACUUUUCAUAAAGCACCUGUGCUAAACCUAACCAAAAGUAACCCCAAGCCUUAUGGUACUUUGAUAGUGGCUGAUCAGAUGAGGCAAUUGGUCACUGAGUCCAUGCCCUACUAUCAGUCAAACUUCAUAGCAAUUAUUUGUAAUACAGCCAUUUGGUAACAAUUACUUGCAGUAAAGCCUUAUCCUGUGUUCUCUGUACUUAGCAAGCUCUGCUUUGAAGCAUCUUCCUGGGUUGUCUUAAGAUGCUUUGGCAGAUUUUUAUUAUCAUUUUGGUCUACUCAAUUAUUGGAGAACUCAUGCAUACCUCAGGACAAACUCAGAGGGGAGCACCAUCUGCAACCAAAUGAGUAUGUGCAUCCUCAAGGAAUGGCUCUAGCAAGGCUCCACGCAGACCAAAAUCCCUGCUUCACAGAGAAGGCAGCCCUUCAGUUCUCAAAUUAGUCAUCCUGGGCCUGCAUGUGUCACAUUUACAUGGUGGAUUUGAACAAAAGCCGUAAAUCAAGAGGUAAAACUGUGCCGUGGUCACCUAUAGAUCUGUAUUACAUAUUUUCAUGCAAAAAAACAAGGAUGCACAAUGCUCAGUAACAGCUAUUGCAUCCACCUGUAGAUUGAUGCAGUUGGAAAAAAAAAAAACAUUUCCAAGCCUUCAAAUCCUUCUGUGGACACCUUUUUAAUAUUAAGAAAUAUUACAAAGUGACAUCUGAUGACAAUAUUUUGUUAGUACCCUGUGUCUCUGCAGUGCUGAACUGGCUGCAGGGAGAAUUGAACAAACUGAAGUCUGGAGAGGAAAACAAAUAUGCCUUUUUCUGGGAACACUGCAGCUACGACACUUUGUUCUCACUAAGUUUGUGCUUCUUCCUUGUAGUUUGUUCUCAUGCCAUUCUGAGCCUCUUCUCCAUAUAGUAUUUCUAUUUCACAAAACAAACCAAGAGAAAAAUCAGAAAACACAUCACAUACCAGGAAAGAAGAAAAAACAAUGUGCGGGUGGUCACUGGAAAAGGUUGUUGAGUUUUCAUCAUGCUGGGUUUCCAAAAACCCAGCUGGACACGGUCCUGAGCAGUCUACCCCGCUUUGAGCAAGAGGGUUGGACCAGAUGAUCUCCAGAGGUUCCUGCCAACCUCAGUGAUGUGUGGGCAACAAAGAACUGUUCCCAGCUCUUUGCUGUAUGCAGGUUUUGGGCAGCAUCCUUAACCGCAAAAAAAGCCUGUGCAAAAAGACUUCCAGAGCCUUUAGCUGGCUUCUUGUAGAGCCUGACAUGAAGGAAAUCACAAAGUAUUUGAGAUCUAUGAGGUUCUGGGACAGUUCUGCCUAAGAGCUCUGACAAGCUUUUUUUUUUACCAUAAAAUUUCUCAAGAAUAUUUGCUCUAAUGAGUAAUAAAUUAGGCUCUUACAAGUAAGAAUUAUCAAAGUUUUAGUAAAAGUGCCAUCAAAAAGGAUUCAUGCGAGGUAGUUUGGACAUUCAAGUGACAGAAUUAGAUAAUCUUGGUUCAUUCCUUCCAAGCCAAACCAUUCUAUGGCGUCUAAGCCCCAUAUGUAGUCCAUACAAGACUGGCUGAUGUGCCUACCACUCUCUGAAGGGUAGCCAAAUAGCCAAUAAUAGCCAAAAAAUCCCAUGGUCCUAAUCACCUACUCCCAGUUGGGUGACAAGAGUAGCUUUUCUAAAUCCAUUUAAUAAAGGCAGCUACAGAAAACAGGAUCACAGAAAAUUUAAAAACUGCUGAAAACCUCACUGAGCUGGAAAGUUGAUGAAAAUACCAAGAAACCUAAAAAAGCCCCAACCAACAAACCAAAAAACAACAAAAAAACCCCCGAACCAAACCCAACGCAACCAAAACCAUAAAAAUACCAACCAACCAACCUGACCAAACAAAUAAAAAACCAAAACCGUAACAGCAAAACACCAACCCCCCCACCCCCCCUUUUUAUUUUUUUUUUUGAGGCCAAGGAUAGCACAAAAUUAAAAUCAUAGGAAGUUUUGAGUAGGACCAGAUCUGGAGUAUUGGACAUUUCUAAUUGUUAUCACAGAAUCACAGAAUGGUUUGAGCUGGAAAGGACCUUACAAAUCAUCCUGUUUCAAUCCCUUGCUGUGGGGGCAGUCUUGGGCUUCAAAAAUGAUACAAGAUCAUUUGAUUACUCUUCAGUCCACAGUGCUUGAAAACUUUUUAAUAUCUUUUCUGUACCAAAUAAUUCAAAGACCUUUUCCUCUAGAAUUAAUGAGCAAGUUCCCAGGUACUGAUUUUCCUGUUUUAACACUUCAGCAACUUUUCACCAAAGUACAGUGAAAACACCAUCCUCCCAAACCCAGCCAAGAUGACUAACCAUCUCUGAAUGCCCGUCAUAGCUUUACAUGCCUCAAGGUAUUACCAAGUUCUCCAUUUUUUUCCCCCCCCAGUUUAACUCCUUAGCAAUUCUCCUUUAACUCCAAUGCAAUUCUCAAUUCACUGCCAGUAUCAGAGAUACAAGGCUACUAGAUCUCAACCUGCAGGAUCUGUGCUGAUUGGAGAGAAAAGACUGUAAAUGACAGAAAAUACUAUACACCUUAUCAAUCCUGGUUUAUUAUCCUCAGACUUACAAUUAAUUUUUUUUUCAAGCCUUUUUUUUUUUUUUUGUCAGAGUAUCAAGGUCCUGGCACAGAUUGCCCAGAGAAGCUGUGGCUGCUCCAUCCCUGGAAGUGUUCAAGGCCAGGUUGGACAGGACUUGGAGCAACCUGGUGUAGUGGAAGGUGUCCCUGUCCAUGGCUGGAGGGUUAAACUGGAUGAGUUUUAAGGUCCAUUCCAAUCCAAAUCAUUUGAUGAGGAUACUCUGCCUCUAUACCAGAAGGCUGAAAUGCUGGGCUGAAACAACAUUCAGCCCUAAUGUUGUUGGGCUGAAACGUCCCAACAAUUUCUUCUUGCACAGGAAUCCACAAAUACACCUGAAAGAACUUCUUCCCUAACUUUCUCUUUGAUAAGCUAUGUUAUGCUCUAAAUUUAUCAUAAGGUAAGUGCUUCUUUUAUACUGGAAGAAAACAGAUUCAAAGAUUCUCAGGACAGACUCAGAGUAGGGGAAAAGAUCAGUCCCUCAGAGUGGAAGGAAAACGUGCACAGGCUGUUAGCAAACAUUCUUCAUGGUUUACUUCAAAACUCGGGGAAAGGAGCUGAGCUAAACACACUUUUUUUUUUUCCAAUACAGGCAAAACCCAAAGCAGUAUUUUGCUAGUUCAUUAUCCUAAAUUAUGAUCAGUCUUCUCUGGGUUGGAUGUUGCCAAGCUGAAAUCAUCUGCCUUUGUCUGCACCUGCGGGGAUGAACAACCACCUUCACCUGUGGAAUCAUUAGACUUCAGGAACCAUUUCUGCAUUAGAAACAAAAGCAUAUAUUCUUAAUUCAAGAUUUUUGAUUUAGGUUUUAGAUAGGUGUGGCUUUUUAAAAUUUUUUUUUUAAUCCCACUGAUUUGGUCAUGUGUUCUCUUCAAAGGGCCUUAAGGGCCCUUUUUCUAUUUUGCCCUGAAAUUUCAAGAGCUUGUUUUGUCAGUGGCAGAAAUACUGAGACUGAAAAUACAGUCAAUGCAAUGCUUUAACCUUUCCAGAAAACAUGCAGUCUUCUGUGUUUCCCUGCAUCUUUAAAGCACACAUAAAGUCCCCCUAGUUUCAGUACUUCCUCUAACUUCAGUUCACUUUCUUAGCAUCCUUUUUUGAAAAUCCAUGUGUUACUGCAGUACCAGAGCACAUUCAAUAAACAGCUGAAUUCAAAGUGACUCAUUAAUGCCAUUUCACUUGCUCUACAAUUUAUCCACAGCUUUCUGAUAAGAUACAAGCCUAUUGCCUGCUAAUUCCCAGUACCAAAAAUGGUCAGCCCCAUACCCACUCUUUCUACUGUUCCAAGGAGGGACAUCAAAAUAAUUUCAGGAAUGAAGAUGCAGCUUAUGAGGGACAAGGGAUAUGCAAAUAUUAAUUUACAUACUGAUGCUUUAUUUUUAGCAGUUUGCUGAUAUUUAUAGGGCUGUGAGAAGGGGAUGAAGUAUCCCAAGGGCCGGUAGAAAAAAGCUGCACAUCUGCCACGAAGGACAAAAGAACAGGCAGUGAUACCUAGAGUUCAUGCAAAGGAGAGAGGGCCAAAUGCUCCAAGCACCUUGUCUUACUGUCAUUAUCAAAAAUCAAGUUACUUCCCCCCCAACAUAUCUACUCUACAUUUUAGCUCAUCUUGUCUAUUUCUUAUUUGUAAAGGUAUUCAUAUGACAAAGUGCUGAAACAGACAAAUUCAAGAAAAGAAUCUGAAGACAAACAAGUUCAAAUUUGUGAAAGCAGGAAGAGAAGUGUCAAGAAUGGACACACUGACUACCAAAGUUCCUUCUUCUAAAUUUCUUACAUCACCCCUAGACAUCCCCAACAUGUGCUUCAACUUGCCAACCUUAAAUCAAUCACUUCUCAUAGGAACAUGAAAAGCUUUGAGGUGUUGUUAGAAGACAAUUUUCUGUCUUCUAAGAACUGUCAAAUAGUCCACCGUGGUUGUCCAUACUUUUGCUCCAGUCAUCACUAAAGAGGCAGACGAAGUCUUGCAAUAAACAUCAGAAUAAACUGGACCAGAACUCAACAGUAUAGUGAAUGCAUUAGGUUGAAUUCACCUUAGGCCAUUUCUUGGUAUCUAUUUUUGGCUGGGGAGAGCACGUACCUUCACCUAAAACUGAAACUGUAACUUAGGGAAGUGUUUUUAGUUGUAAGUACUUAAGAAAACUCUUGCUCUUAUAUUCUCAUGGCUUUCCAGUUCCAGAUAUGCCAGGGACACUCAAAGCACUGCAAGAGCCCAGGUGACAAUGAAAAUUUGAUACAAGCCAGAACUGUGUCAACUGCUUUGGGCCCUUCAAAACUGGGUAUGGAAAUACACGCCAUUCCUUAUGGUGACUUAUGCAAGGCACAACUGACAGCCCACUGCCAAUAACAUCAGUAUUAAGCCACUUUUUGUCAUUCUGUAGCAAUGUGGAACUUUCACAACUUAAGAGGAUAACUUCUUCACUUUUGUUGAUUGCUGUGAUUUCAUUAAAACAAGAGUAAAAUGUCCCAAUCAAAACCUUAACUACCUACAAUGACAUACUGGCAGGGUUAUUAUUUAAGAAGGAAAUGUGGAAUGUUUCCUUUUUAACAUAUUAUUCUCUUCAAUCCUGAGCACUAUGGAUAGCAGAACCCAAACCAAUACUUAUUUCAAUACAAAGGUAAACACAAAAAUUGUUAGUUUCAUAACCCACUAUUCCAGUAUUUGCAUAUCAAAUAAAAUCUGGACAUUUAUCCACAAUUAUAAACUACAUUAUUUUGGAACUAAUGUUGAUGGAAAAAGAAAACAGAAGGAAGGAAGAAGUAUAUGAAGGGCCUAGUGACUUAGUUCAUGGGAUAACUGAUGUUAGAGAAAACCAAGAGCCCCCU